AAUAAAGGAUUCAUGAAUGUUUGUACAUGAACUGAUGGUUCUGACAGAUUGAGUUCCUAAUAUGUCUGCCCAAACAUGUUCUAGCGUAAACACAGGAGGAACUACAAAAACUUUGGUUGUUCCAAAAACUUGCUUCCUAGCUGCUUCUUUUGCCAUGAUGUCUGCAACUUGGUUCUGUUCACGGAAGCAAUGAAAUACUGCUGGGUUCCCCAGUUUUCUCAGCACAUACCUGCAAGCAUCCCCUAUAUUAUUGUUAUUGUUUGUUGGGGUUGUGUGUUGGCUAAAUAUUCUUAAAGAAUAUUUUGCAUUCUACUAAACUCGAAAGAG
rnacentral:lncRNA from 1 species